rnacentral:rRNA from 1 species
UACGUAGGGUGCAAGCGUUGUCCGGAAUUAUUGGGCGGAAAGAGCUCGUAGGCGGUCUGUCACGUCGGCUGUGAAAACCCGGGGCUCAACCCCGGGCCUGCAGUCGAUACGGGCAGACUAGAGUGCGGUAGGGGAGACUGGAAUUCCUGGUGUAGCGGUGAAAUGCGCAGAUAUCAGGAGGAACACCGGUGGCGAAGGCGGGUCUCUGGGCCGUAACUGACGCUGAGGAGCGAAAGCGUGGGGAGCGAACAGG